rnacentral:rRNA from 1 species
AACGAACGCUGGCGGCAGGCUUAACACAUGCAAGUCGAACGCCCCGCAAGGGGAGUGGCAGACGGGUGAGUAACGCGUGGGAACAUACCCUUUUCUACGGAAUAGCUCUGGGAAACUGGAAUUAAUACCGUAUACGCCCUACGGGGGAAAGAUUUAUCGGGGAAGGAUUGGCCCGCGUUGGAUUAGCUAGUUGGUGGGGUAAAGGCCUACCAAGGCGACGAUCCAUAGCUGGUCUGAGAGGAUGAGCAACCACAUUGGGACUGAGAUACGGCCAAAACUCCUACGGGAGGCAGGAGUGGGGAAUAUUGGACAAUGGGCGCAAGCCUAAUCCAGCCAUGCCGCGUGAGUGAUGAAGGCCUUAGGGUUGUAAAGCUCUUUCACCGAUGAAGAUAAUGACGGUAGUCGGAGAAGAAGCCCCGGCUAACUUCGUGCCAGCCGCCGCAGUAAUAC